UACAGAGGUCUCAAGCGUUGUUCGGAUUCAUUGGGCGUAAAGGGUGCGUAGGUGGCGCGCUAAGUCGGGUGUGAAAUUUCGGAGCUCAACUCCGAAACUGCAUUCGAUACUGGUGUGCUUGAGGACUGGAGAGGAGACUGGAAUUCAUGGUGUAGCAGUGAAAUGCGUAGAGAUCAUGAGGAAGACCAGUGGCGAAGGCGGGUCUCUGGACAGUUCCUGACACUGAGGCACGAAGGCCAGGGGAGCAAAC
rnacentral:rRNA from 1 species